AUUGAACGCUGGCGGCAGGCCUAACACAUGCCAGUCGAGCGGAUGCAGGGAGCUUGCUCCUGGAUUCAGCGGCGGACGGGUGAGUAAUGCCUAGGAAUCUGCCUGGUAGUGGGGGAUAACGUCCGGAAACGGGCGCUAAUACCGCAUAAGUCCUGAGGGCGUAAGUGGGGGAUCUUCGGACCUUACGCUAUCAGAUGAGCCUAGGUCGGAUUAGCUAGUUGGUGGGGUAAAGGCCUACCAAGGCGACGAUCCGUAACUGGUCUGAGAGGAUGAUCAGUCACACUGGAACUGAGACACGGUCCAGACUCCUACGGGAGGCAGCAGUGGGGAAUAUUGGACAAUGGGCGAAAGCCUGAUCCAGCCAUGCCGCGUGUGUGAAGAAGGUCUUCGGAUUGUAAAGCACUUUAAGUUGGGAGGAAGGGCAGUAAGUUAAUACCUUGCUGUUUUGACGGUACCAACAGAAUAAGCACCGGCUAACUUCGUG
rnacentral:rRNA from 1 species